rnacentral:rRNA from 1 species
UACGGAGGGUGCGAGCGUUGUCCGGAAUUACUGGGCGUAAAGGGCUCGUAGGUGGCCAACUAAGUCAGACGUGAAAUCCCUCAGCUUAACUGGGGAACUGCGUCUGAUACUGGAUGGCUUGAGUUUGGGAGAGGGAUGCGGAAUUCCAGGUGUAGCGGUGAAAUGCGUAGAUAUCUGGAGGAACACCGGUGGCGAAGGCGGCAUCCUGGACCAACACUGACACUGAGGAGCGAAAGCGUGGGGAGCGAACAGG